CUUUAUGCAAAAUGAUGGAUCCUUUUUGGAUCUAAAUACACACGGUUUGUCUGAACUAUUAAAAUAUAUAUUUAUAUCAUAAAUAAUGAAGGAAGCAAAUGGUACAGAAAACAUAGAGGUUUAUAGGUGGUUCUUUCUAAGACAAAUAGGUGUGUUGCCCACCCAGUAUUUCGCCCAGCUGGACAAAGUUGGUAACCUGGGACCACACAGUGGUAGCUGCCUACAGAGGUACCAAGGCUUUUAUUCCAUCAGCCCCUUUCCAGUUCUUCCUUCCAUGCUCAGAACCUGCCUUUUUCAGAGUGAGUUGCCAUCUGUGAGCAAUCUACAUUCCCAGCCUCAUCAUUAAUUUGUGUCAUUUCUUGAGAACAGCACUAUCAUGUACUAAGGUGAAAACAGCUUUCGAAACAUCCAGAUUUUGUUGUAAAACAGACAUCCAGCCUUUCAAAGAGCUCUGUGUCCAGAAGGCGCCAAGAAAUGCAUAGACAACCCAUCCCACUGUUUUGUUGUUUGGGUGGCAAAAGGAAGAUGCUUCUUGGAUGCUGAGUUUGCUGCGCUCAUGCAAAACAAUCAAUUGAUGGGAAGCAAAGCCCUCUUCGUGAUGGGUUGUUGGAGAAAGGGAACACAACCUGAUAACGUGGGACAAGGAAAAAGCCCUUCUGAGCAUGUCCCCGUGUUCAUCUGUCUGACAUGGGUACUGCUGGCUUUGAAGCCUCCUGCUAAAGAAAAUCAUGUAAGGCAGAGACAAAGGGUUGUGCCUCUGCUGUUGACAUGCAUCCAUAUGUGCCACAUGCCGCUUGUGCUGGCAUAAUUAAGUUAAUUUGACAAACUGCAUCGAGCAACAGGCACAGUUGUCUGGGAGCCCGUUUGCUCUGCACAGUGAAUGCUCCUCAAACCAUCAACAUGACAGAAGCGCUGUGUCUAAUUAACACUUUCUAAUACCUCAACAAAUAACAAACCUGCUGUUGGGAAAAAUAGUUUCACACUUCCUUAUCAAAUUAGGGCAAAAUCACUCCUAAUGAGCUAAAAUCAAUUAGAGCGGCACCCGAAAUGAAUGUAUUUAUGCUGUCAGAGCGAGCUAUUUGCAUAACAGUUUGCAAGGGCAGGGAAGGUGUGAUAGCUUUUUAGUGCUGCUAAUGAGGAGCUGCUGUGGAUAGGUGCUGCCAGAGAGAAAACUGUGUCUGCUGGGGUUGUGCGCUGGUGGCAGCUCAUGCAGCAUUGAGAGCUGG
rnacentral:lncRNA from 1 species